rnacentral:rRNA from 1 species
AUGGAACAACUCAACCUGGAAGAUGAAGAUUUUGAUGACCUGGUGAUCGAGGAGGAUGAUCCGGCGGUUAACGAAGGAGUCCGCUGGCUAGCCCUAGCCAGGGUUCACACGGAAAAAACCUUCAGUCCGACGGCGUUCUACAAAGAUAUGCGUGCUUCUUGGAAUACGGCGAAGCCCGUGAGGUUCAGACCCGUCGGACCGAACGUCUUCGUGGUGCAGGCGGCCUGUCUUGGUGACUGGGAGCGCAUGGUGGAACAAGGGCCAUGGAUCUUCAGGAAUUGGGUGGUGCUUAUGUCCCCGUAUGAUGGUUUCAGGAAGGCGGAGGAAGUGCCCAUGCUGUUUAUGCCGAUAUGGCUUCAAAUUCACAAGUUGCCCGAUGGUUUUUGCAAGAAGAAUAUAGUGGAAUCAUUGUUGAGGAACUCUGGGGAUAUCUUGGAGAUGAGGCUGAACGGGAAUACCCAUGGUGAUUAUGUGAGGGUUAGGGUUCGCCAUGACAUCCGCAGACCCCUCACAAAGUUUGUAAGCAUUGUCAGAGGAAAGGAAAGGCAAGUGUUCCUAGUUCGUUAUGAAAAACUAGCUCGCUUCUGCAGUGUGUGUGGCCUAAUUGGGUAUGACUAUAAGGAGUGUGGCUCCGGUGUUCAUGAGGAGAAGGAGGAGAAGUUCGGACCUUGGUUGUAUGCAGAUGGGCUGACCAAAGCAAGAUCGGAUGAAUUCAGAAGUGGCACUGACAAGCAAAAGCAGCAACAACAUACACCAUCGAAGGAGAAGGAAGUGCGGAAGGCCCUGGACCCAGAGCUAGGUGACACGACAACCAGCCCUUCGAAGCAUGUAUCCAGGGACAUGUAG